CCAAGGGCUCGUCCAGUGUCCGGCACCAGCGCAGUGCGCAGACACGCGAUAGGGUUUUGGGUGGGGUGAGGACGGGCCGGCGGCGAUUCGGGGACUCCGACGAAGACCCGCCGCACAACGCCGACGAAGGCGCCUGGCGCGACGCCAGGGAAGGCAGCCUGCCGCCCGCUGGCCGCGCCGUCGCCUCUCCGCUCCCCACCUGCAACUGUACCACGGCCUGCGGCGCCAGGUGGGCCACUCAACAUUCGCCGCCGCCUCCCAUCUCCAACAUCCGCCUGCCAUGGAGCACCUCCGGUGGCGCCCCUCGGUGAACGAGCGCGAAUUCAUUGAGACCGCCCUCCAGUCCGACCUCCGCGUCGACGGCCGCCACUCCUUCGACUUCCGCAAACUCAGGAUCAGCUUCGGCAGGGAGGACGGCUCGUCGGAGGUGCAGCUCGGGGAGACGCACGUGCUGGGCUACGUGACCGCGCAGCUGGUCCAGCCCUACAGGGACAGGCCGAACGAGGGGACGCUGGCCAUAUUCACCGAGUUCUCGCCCAUGGCCGACCCAGCCUUCGAGCCUGGGCGUCCAGGGGAAUCAGCAAUUGAGCUUGGCCGAGUCAUCGACCGUGGCCUCAGGGAGAGCCGGGCUGUGGACAUGGAGUCCCUGUGUGUUGUUGCUGGGAAGCAUGUCUGGUCCGUGCGGGUUGACCUUCACAUCUUGGACAACGGAGGGAAUCUCAUUGAUGCAGCUAACAUUGCUGCAUUGGCCGCUUUGUCUACUUUCCGGAGGCCGGAAUGCACAGUUGGUGGGGACGAUGGUCAACAAGUUAUAGUGCAUGAUCCUGAGGUCAGGGAUCCACUCCCUCUUACAAUUCAUCAUAUGCCCAUUGCUGUAACCUUUGCAUAUUUUGGUGAAGGUAACAUCGUGGUUAUUGAUCCCACAUACAAGGAAGAAGCAGUAAUGGGAGGGAGGAUGACUGCUACGAUUAACUCAAAUGGUGAUAUUUGUGCCAUCCAGAAAGCUGGUGGGGAGGGUGUCAUGUCUAGUGUUGUCAUGCAGUGUUUAAGAAUUGCUUCUGUUAAGGCUGCUGAUAUAACAAGCAAAAUAAAGAAAGCAGUAGACUCAUACACCACUGAGAAAGCUUUAAAGAAAGUAAAGCGUUUACCAGCCAUGUUGCCUCAAAAAAUUAAUGUAAUUGAUGUAACUAUGGAGGACAAAGUUGAUGGUGAAUUGGAGACGCAAACUGUGAAGACACCCAGUGAAGUUCAGGAGAUAAGCAAAGGUGAUGAAGACCAUCGAAAUCUAAAAGGGAAUUCACCCUUGACUGGGGACAGAAUUGCUAAACAGAAACAAACAUCAACAUUCAGUGGUGGUCCAUCAAAUUGGGACCCAUAUUCUAAAGGAGUUUCAUUAAGCUCCCUCAGAAUUUUGCAGUUGCCGGAUCCAGCAACUACAGGUAAGGCCAGAAGCCAUGAGGAGGCACAACCAAUGUUAACUGAGUCAUCUAAUGCUGAGGUGAAAAUCAUCACAUCAAGCUCUGGGGCUGUUGGAGAGUCUGAAGAGGCCCAGGAAAUUGGGUCGCCAAAGAGCCUAAAAGAUGCUAUCAAACCAAAACACAAAAGAAAGAAGAACAAAAAGUGACAGGAGUUAGAUUAAUUGCAAGCCUGUAAUUUCAUGGCUAAGGUGAGUGGUCAUUUGCGCUACUGUCAUGUAUGUUGUGUGGGCGUUCCUACUAUAAGUUGUGGGCAUGCCGAUUGUCGUGAUGACUGCACACGCCACAGUUGUAUGCUACGAGCACUCUGAUGCUGAAGUGAUGUAUGGCGCACACACAAAACCUCCUAAAGAAGUGAUGUAUGUUCUGCAGUUGUUACUGAUGCAGGAGGUGACUGCAGGCAAAUUUUGUACAAGCUGUACAAUUCAAUUGUAUUCUAGGAAUGGUCAAGUUUUCAGGCAACUUUGCAACUAUCCUUGUGAUGCAUGAUGUCCCUACCCAUCUUUAUUCCA